AGUCGAGCGAACGGACGAGAAGCUUGCUUCUCUGAUGUUAGCGGCGGACGGGUGAGUAACACGUGGAUAACCUACCUAUAAGACUGGGAUAACUUCGGGAAACCGGAGCUAAUACCGGAUAAUAUUUUGAACCGCAUGGUUCAAAAGUGAAAGACGGUCUUGCUGUCACUUAUAGAUGGAUCCGCGCUGCAUUAGCUAGUUGGUAAGGUAACGGCUUACCAAGGCAACGAUGCAUAGCCGACCUGAGAGGGUGAUCGGCCACACUGGAACUGAGACACGGUCCAGACUCCUACGGGAGGCAGCAGUAGGGAAUCUUCCGCAAUGGGCGAAAGCCUGACGGAGCAACGCCGCGUGAGUGAUGAAGGUCUUCGGAUCGUAAAACUCUGUUAUUAGGGAAGAACAUAUGUGUAAGUAACUGUGCACAUCUUGACGGUACCUAAUCAGAAAGCCACGGCUAACUACGUGCCAGCAGCCGCGGUAAUACGUAGGUGGCAAGCGUUAUCCGGAAUUAUUGGGCGUAAAGCGCGCGUAGGCGGUUUUUUAAGUCUGAUGUGAAAGCCCACGGCUCAACCGUGGAGGGUCAUUGGAAACUGGAAAACUUGAGUGCAGAAGAGGAAAGUGGAAUUCCAUGUGUAGCGGUGAAAUGCGCAGAGAUAUGGAGGAACACCAGUGGCGAAGGCGACUUUCUGGUCUGUAACUGACGCUGAUGUGCGAAAGCGUGGGGAUCAAACAGGAUUAGAUACCCUGGUAGUCCACGCCGUAAACGAUGAGUGCUAAGUGUUAGGGGGUUUCCGCCCCUUAGUGCUGCAGCUAACGCAUUAAGCACUCCGCCUGGGGAGUACGACCGCAAGGUUGAAACUCAAAGGAAUUGACGGGGACCCGCACAAGCGGUGGAGCAUGUGGUUUAAUUCGAAGCAACGCGAAGAACCUUACCAAAUCUUGACAUCCUUUGACAACUCUAGAGAUAGAGCCUUCCCCUUCGGGGGACAAAGUGACAGGUGGUGCAUGGUUGUCGUCAGCUCGUGUCGUGAGAUGUUGGGUUAAGUCCCGCAACGAGCGCAACCCUUAAGCUUAGUUGCCAUCAUUAAGUUGGGCACUCUAAGUUGACUGCCGGUGACAAACCGGAGGAAGGUGGGGAUGACGUCAAAUCAUCAUGCCCCUUAUGAUUUGGGCUACACACGUGCUACAAUGGACAAUACAAAGGGCAGCGAAACCGCGAGGUCAAGCAAAUCCCAUAAAGUUGUUCUCAGUUCGGAUUGUAGUCUGCAACUCGACUACAUGAAGCUGGAAUCGCUAGUAAUCGUAGAUCAGCAUGCUACGGUGAAUACGUUCCCGGGUCUUGUACACACCGCCCGUCACACCACGAGAGUUUGUAACACCCGAAGCCGGUGGAGUAACCUUUUAGGAGCUAGCCGUCGAAG
rnacentral:rRNA from 1 species